CCUACGGGGGCUGCAGUGGGGAAUAUUGGACAAUGGGCGAAAGCCUGAUCCAGCCAUGCCGCGUGUGUGAAGAAGGCCUUCGGGUUGUAAAGCACUUUCAGUGGGGAAGAAAGCCUUGGGGCUAAUACCCUCGAGGAAGGACAUCACCCACAGAAGAAGCACCGGCUAACUCCGUGCCAGCAGCCGCGGUAAUACGGAGGGUGCGAGCGUUAAUCGGAAUUACUGGGCGUAAAGCGCGCGUAGGCGGUCUGAUAAGCCGGUUGUGAAAGCCCCGGGCUCAACCUGGGAACGGCAUCCGGAACUGUCAGGCUAGAGUGUAGGAGAGGAAGGUAGAAUUCCCGGUGUAGCAGUGAAAUGCGUAGAGAUCGGGAGGAAUACCAGUGGCGAAGGCGGCCUUCUGGACUGACACUGACGCUGAGGUGCGAAAGCGUGGGUAGCAAACAGGAUUAGAUACCCCAGUAGUC
rnacentral:rRNA from 1 species